GGGUGGUAAAUAGCCUUGAAGUUUCCUUGCAUGACCUGUAAUUUACAAGAGUUGGCGACAGGGGGCAGUGUCUAGGUGCGUGUAGUGAAAUGCGCAUGCGUCACACGAGCGUGUGAGACGUGCUAAGUGCAGUGAGAGAGGAUACGCACUCGUACGGGAAUUUGAAAGCAUUUUAGAGCAUCCCGUGGUAAAUAAAGUGUUUAUUUUGCAAUAUACCUAACAUUAAACAUUUCUGAAUGUGUACUGUGUAGUUCAUUUGUUAAAAACGUAUAAUGUAAGGUGGGUUAUGUCGUGGUAAAUGUCCGUGUAUAUAUGACGUCAUACCAUGUGCUGUAAAUCUGUUCCGUUUGUGUUUAGCAACAAUAUACAUUUCAGUUUACGAAUAUUUUAUUGAAUAUAUUUAUCAUUUGUUUGUUUAAAAGACAGAGUAUACAAGGAUAUAUGUAGGCUGAAUUUCAACCGUGCAACGUCACUGCCUUUAUGUGGUGAUUGAUUGAGGAGGUCAUCAUUAUUAUCCCCACUGCCGUAUUUUUGACGUUUUCUUUUUGACAUUUAAAAAUGUAAUAUCGUACAGCUGGGCUUGUCGUAUUUUUGUGUUUCUUAAACUUGUAUAAGACAGGUUGUGCUUUUCUUUCAUUGGUAAAACCCCGUUUUUGUGGGUCAAGAAACUAUGUUUUUUUGUAUUGUUUUAUCUGUCCAGAGCUGUGUGUUCUAAAUACACGUUUCUGAAAGAUCCUUUCAUUUACAACGUAUAAUUGAAUAAACCACAAAAGCAAAUUGAACUUGU